rnacentral:SRP_RNA from 2 species
GCCGGGUGUGGUGGUGGGCGCCUGUAAUCCCAGCUACUCGGGAGGCUGAGGCAGGAGAAUCACUUGAACUCGGGAGGUGGAGGUUGCAGUGAGCCGAGACCACACCACUGCACUGCAACCUGGGUAACAGAGUGAGACUCUGUCUCCA